GGAAACUGCUGUUACCACUUUUACAAGUUCCACUGUUACAGUUAACGGACCAGCAGUGGUCGUUAAGAUCGUUCUCACAUUGACUUCCAUUAAAUCCUGCAUGGAAAUGAAAUAGAAGAUUUAUUGUGAUCAGAUGAAUUAAGGUUCCAGUAAAUCCAUCCAUACAUUUGCAUCUGUAGCUGUUUACUUCAUCAAUACAAGUUCCUUUAAUGAAAAUAAAAACUUGACAAGGAUUGAAAAUGUCUGAUCACAAGCACAAUGGGCUCAUCUUGCCACAACUUGUAUUGGUUUCUGUUGCAGUAAGUGACCAGGAAUAUUGCUGCUCCCACUGAAUGACCUGCCACCUGGCCCAUGGGAAAUUACUUCAACUGCAUUUGGUCAGGUUUUCCCUAGCUUGGACUCAGACCUUUUCCCCCCUUGAGACAUAAUCACUUAAUAUUUAACAAGUACAUGAAAUGAUAAAAAAGAGAAAACUGACAUGCCAGCUAACGGAUAUAAACUCCACAUACUUCUAUGUACACUCCAGUGCUCACAAUGUUAAAAUCUAGACUUCACUUCACUUCACAUGCAAAUUUCCUACUCAGGGUGUAUUAAAGCCACAUGAAAACCAUUAGGAAAUUAUUUGAACAAUUUUAUCCCUUUCACAGCAUCUUUUCACAAUUCUUUUUAAUUUAGUUCUUUCAGCCUAUGCACAUAAAAAAAAAAGCACUGACUCACACUUGCAGUUGAGAAUCUGGAUAGUGAUUUGUGACUGAAAAGGCCCUGAAAUUUAAAAUCAGGCCUGCUGUAGAUACCCUGAGUGAAUACCAAUUUCAUAAUAAUAAGAUUAGGUGGAUGGGUAAAAUUCA